GAUGAACGCUGGCGGCGUGCCUAAUACAUGCAAGUCGAGCGAACGGACGAGACGCUUGCUUCUCUUAUGUUAGCGGCGGACGGGUGAGUAACACGUGGAUAACCUACCUAUAAGACUGGGAUAACUUCGGGAAACCGGAGCUAAUACCGGAUAAUAUUUUGAACCGCAUGGUUCAAAAGUGUAAGACGGUCUUGCUGUCACUUAUAGAUGGAUCCUCGCUGCAUUAGCUAGUUGGUAAGGUAACGGCUUACCAAGGCAACGAUGCAUAGCCGACCUGAGAGGGUGAUCGGCCACACUGGAACUGAGACACGGUCCAGACUCCUACGGGAGGCAGCAGUAGGGAAUCUUCCGCAAUGGGCGAAAGCCUGACGGAGCAAUGCCGCGUGAGUGAUGAAGGUCUUCGGAUCGUAAAACUCUGUUAUUAGGGAAGAACAUAUGUGUAAUUAACUGUGCACAUCUUGACGGUACCUAAUCAGAAAGCCACGGCUAACUACGUG
rnacentral:rRNA from 1 species